rnacentral:rRNA from 1 species
AACAAACGCUGGCGGCAUGCCUAACACAUGCAAGUCGAACGAGACCUUCGGGUCUAGUGGCGCACGGGUGCGUAACGCGUGGGAAUCUGCCUAAAGGUUCGGAAUAACAGUUAGAAAUGACUGCUAAUACCGGAUGAUGUCUUCGGACCAAAGAUUUAUCGCCUUUAGAUGAGCCCGCGUAGGAUUAGCUUGUUGGUGGGGUAAAGGCCUACCAAGGCGACGAUCCUUAGCUGGUCUGAGAGGAUGAUCAGCCACACUGGGACUGAGACACGGCCCAGACUCCUACGGGAGGCAGCAGUGGGGAAUAUUGGACAAUGGGCGAAAGCCUGAUCCAGCAAUGCCGCGUGAGUGAUGAAGGCCUUAGGGUUGUAAAGCUCUUUUACCCGGGAUGAUAAUGACAGUACCGGGAGAAUAAGCCCCGGCUAACUCCGUGCCAGCAGCCGCCGUAAAAC